AGGAAAAGCUAGCUCCACCCAAAGCCUUUAAUGCAUCCAUGUUCCAAUUGUUUACAAUACUGAUCUACUUGACAGUAGAUACUGUCAGACAUUUUUCUCCUCAUUCUAAUGGUGUCUAGCCAAAUGUUUUGGAAAAGAAGAUUAUUAUUUUAUUUCACUUUGUGUUUUCUUAUUAUUGACAUUUAGACUUCUUUAUAUAUUCUACAUGUGAGCUGUUUAUCAGGUCCCACACAACAGAGGAGAUUGGGUGACCUGCUACAGUCUAACAGCCUCUCAGAGAUGGGUGUGACCUGCCAAGAUGCCAAUCAACCUGCUGACUGCAAGACAAAAUGAAACAAGACUCCACCCCUGAGACCUUACCCCUGCCUUUAAUAUACCCCCUUAAAUAAACCACGGGAGCCAUA